AGACGUCUACAUUAGAUACCCCGGUAGUCCCAGCCGUAAACUAUGCGCGUUAGGUGUAUCGGUGACCACGAGUUACCGAGGUGCCGAAGGGAAACCGUGAAACGUGCCGCCUGGGAAGUACGGUCGCAAGGCUGAAACUUAAAGGAAUUGGCGGGGAGCACCACAACAGGUAGAGCCUGCGGUUUAAUUGGACUCAACGCCGGGAAGCUCACCGGAUAGGACAGCAGAAUGAUUGCCGGGCUGAAGACCCUGCAUGACUAGCUG
rnacentral:rRNA from 1 species